CGUGUCGUGAGAUGUUGGGUUAAGUCCCGCAACGAGCGCAACCCUCGCCCUUAGUUGCCAGCAUUGAGUUGGGCACUCUAAGGGGACUGCCGGUGAUAAGCCGAGAGGAAGGUGGGGAUGACGUCAAGUCCUCAUGGCCCUUACGGGCUGGGCUACACACGUGCUACAAUGGUGGUGACAGUGGGCAGCGAGCACGCGAGUGUGAGCUAAUCUCCAAAAGCCAUCUCAGUUCGGAUUGCACUCUGCAACUCGAGUGCAUGAAGUUGGAAUCGCUAGUAAU
rnacentral:rRNA from 1 species